AGAGUUUGAUCCUGGCUCAGGAUGAACGCUGGCGGCGCAUUUAAGACAUGCAAGUCGAACGAAAACGAACAAAUUAAGAAGAAUGGAAGAUUUAUCUGAAAUGAUUUUUAGACCGUGAGUUUUAGUGGCGGACGGGUGAGUAAUACAUAGAUAAUCUGCCUUUUAGAGGGAAAUAACUAGGAGAAAUCCAAGCUAAUGUCCCAUAAGACCACAUUAUCGCAUGAUAGAGAGGUCAAAGGAGAAAUCCGCUAAAAGAUGAGUCUAUGGCUGAUUAGUUAGUUGGUGGGGUAAGAGCUUACCAAGACAAUGAUCAGUAGCCGAGCUGAGAGGCUGGCCGGCCACAUUGGGACUGAGACACGGCCCAGACUCCUACGGGAGGCAGCAGUUGGGAAUAUUGGACAAUGGAGGAAACUCUGAUCCAGUGACGCCGCGUGAAGGAAGAAGGUCUUCGGAUUGUAAACUUAUUUUAUCAGGGAAGAAAUAAAUGACAGUACCUGAAGAAGAAGGACCGGCUAACUACGUGCCAGCAGCCGCGGUAAUACGUAGGGUCCGAGCGUUAUCCGGAUUUACUGGGUGUAAAGGGCGAGUAGACGGAACUGCAAGUCAGAUGUGAAAUGCUAGAGCUCAACUUUAGAACUGCAUCUGAAACUGUGGAACUAGAGUGCAGGAGAGGUAAGCGGAAUUCCUAGUGUAGCGGUGAAAUGCGUAGAUAUUAGGAGGAACACCAGUGGCGAAGGCGGCUUACUGGACUGUAACUGACGUUGAGGCGCGAAAGUGUGGGGAGCAAACAGGAUUAGAUACCCUGGUAGUCCACACUGUAAACGAUGGAUACUAGGUGUAGGCAUGAAUGUGUCUGUGCCGUCGCAAACGCAGUAAGUAUCCCACCUGGGGAGUACGGCCGCAAGGUUGAAACUCAAAGGAAUUGACGGGGGCCCGCACAAGCAGUGGAGUAUGUGGUUUAAUUCGA
rnacentral:rRNA from 1 species